UUGAUGGGAUCAACGCCAGAUAGUCUGAUUCAUUCAAUGCUGGUGUAGCAGGCAUAAUUGCAUCAGCAGCAACUGAAGAAUCCAAGUUCGAUGUUUGGGUUGUACUUGAUUCUGCAGGAGUGGCACCGGUUUCUGUUGUGGGUGUAGCACCAGAUUCUAUCGCGGGUGGUGUAGCACCAGUUUCUGUCGCGGGUGGUGCAGCGCCAGUUUCUGUCGUGGGUGCAGCGCCAGUUUCUGAUGCGGGUGCAGCACCAGAGUCUGAUGCCGGUGCAGCACCAGAGUCUGCUGCAGGUGCAGCACCAGAGUCUGAUGCCGGUGCAGCACCAGAGUCUGAUGCAGGUGGAUUACCUGAUUCUGGUGUAGUGGAAGCCCCAUUUUCUGAUUUAGGAGGAACACCGGAUUCUGAUGUUGCAGAUGUGUUGCUUCCAGCAGGAACAGAAGCCAUUGGUGCUGUUGUUUUAGAUCCUUCCAGAAGUAGUGGUUUGCCAG
rnacentral:lncRNA from 1 species